rnacentral:rRNA from 1 species
GACGAACGCUGGCGGCGUGCUUAACACAUGCAAGUCGAACGGUGAUGGCCAGCUUGCUGGUCUGAUCAGUGGCGAACGGGUGAGUAACACGUGAGCAACCUGCCCUAGACUCUGGAAUAACCAUGGGAAACGAUGGCUAAUACCGGAUACGAGACACACACGCAUGUGUGGUGUCUGGAAAGAUUUAUCGGUCUGGGAUGGGCUCGCGGCCUAUCAGCUUGUUGGUGGGGUAGUGGCCUACCAAGGCGACGACGGGUAGCCGGCCUGAGAGGGCGACCGGCCACACUGGGACUGAGAUACGGCCCAGACUCCUACGGGAGGCAGCAGUGGGGAAUAUUGCACAAUGGGCGCAAGCCUGAUGCAGCGACGCCGCGUGAGGGAUGACGGCCUUCGGGUUGUAAACCUCUUUCAGCAGGGAAGAAGCGCAAGUGACGGUACCUGCAGAAGAAGCGCCGGCUAACUACGUGCCAGCAGCCGCGGUAAUACGUAGGGCGCAAGCGUUGUCCGGAAUUAUUGGGCGUAAAGAGCUCGUAGGCGGUUUGUCGCGUCUGCUGUGAAAACCUAAGGCUCAACCUUGGGCUUGCAGUGGGUACGGGCAGACUAGAGUGCGGUAGGGGUGACUGGAAUUCCUGGUGUAGCGGUGGAAUGCGCAGAUAUCAGGAGGAACACCGAUGGCGAAGGCAGGUCACUGGGCCGCAACUGACGCUGAGGAGCGAAAGCAUGGGGAGCGAACAGGAUUAGAUACCCUGGUAGUCCAUGCCGUAAACGUUGGGCACUAGGUGUGGGGCUCAUUCCACGAGUUCCGUGCCGCAGCAAACGCAUUAAGUGCCCCGCCUGGGGAGUACGGCCGCAAGGCUAAAACUCAAAGAAAUUGACGGGGGCCCGCACAAGCGGCGGAGCAUGCGGAUUAAUUCGAUGCAACGCGAAGAACCUUACCAAGGCUUGACAUACACCGGAAACUUCCAGAGAUGGUUGCCCCGCAAGGUCGGUGUACAGGUGGUGCAUGGUUGUCGUCAGCUCGUGUCGUGAGAUGUUGGGUUAAGUCCCGCAACGAGCGCAACCCUCGUCCCAUGUUGCCAGCGGGUUAUGCCGGGGACUCAUGGGAGACUGCCGGGGUCAACUCGGAGGAAGGUGGGGAUGACGUCAAAUCAUCAUGCCCCUUAUGUCCUGGGCUUCACGCAUGCUACAAUGGCCGGUACAAAGGGCUGCGAUACCGCGAGGUGGAGCGAAUCCCAAAAAGCCGGUCUCAGUUCGGAUUGGGGUCUGCAACUCGACCCCAUGAAGUCGGAGUCGCUAGUAAUCGCAGAUCAGCAACGCUGCGGUGAAUACGUUCCCGGGCCU